rnacentral:rRNA from 1 species
CAGUCGCCGCGGUAAUACGAAGGGGGCUAGCGUUGUUCGGAUUUACUGGGCGUAAAGCGCACGUAGGCGGAUCGAUCAGUCAGGGGUGAAAUCCUGGAGCUCAACUCCAGAACUGCCUUUGAUACUGUCGAUCUCGAGUCCGGAAGAGGUGAGUGGAACUCCUAGUGUAGAGGUGGAAUUCGUAGAUAUUAGGAAGAACACCAGUGGCGAAGGCGGCUCACUGGUCCGGUACUGACGCUGAGGUGCGAAAGCGUGGGGAGCAAACAGGAUUAGAUACCCCUGUAGUCCCUGUCUCUUAUAA